UUACAUGUUGUUUGUAUUUAUAAACACACUUUUAGAAAACAGGGUAUUUUAUUUGUAUUUAUUGGUAGGUCAUAAUAAAUCUGACUGACAGAAUGUAAAAUCUCCUGCAGUUUCCUCAGAUCAACACUAGAGGUCUCCAUCACACAGCUCAAUGUUAUGACAUCGCACCUAAGAGAAUGAAGACUGUAAUCUAGUCGGUCUCGUCCGAGUCCAGCGAUAUAUGUUUUAUUUUCUCCUUCAAAACAAAACAUUGAUAGAGCAAUAUGCUUUUGAUCCGAAAACUGUUGCCGACUCUCGACUCUCGAGCUGCGCGUGCUCAUAAGUUCUCUCUUCACACAGCAGUUCAGUUCAGUGUGUGCUGUUGUUGUAACUAAAUAACUCCGGUAUAUUGGUUCAGGUCCGCGGGACUGUCAUGCACGCCAGAAAGUGAAUAACUGAAUUAAUUUGUGGAUAAUAUUAAGUGUUUACGGGAGACGCUAAACGGGAACGAUUCAGCUGAACUGGUUCGACCGGUUCACUAAAAAGAAAGAACCGGUUCGAAUGAACGAUUCGUCCGCGGCGCGAACCAGCGUCAAUCAUUCAUCAGGCACGAUGUCAGCGAGCAGCGGCAUAAUACAGAUUGGUUUUACAAACCAAAAUAAAUGUAUCGACAGUGCGCUUAAAAGGAAACUUUUUGCAACAAAACUUUCCCCGAAACAUGUGGGACAACAUCCAAUUUCGUAAGACACCUGCAAAGGCAUCACAAAGAGAGUCCUGGUCUUGGACUUGUCUUGGACUCGACAAUGGUGGACUUGACUACAGCCCUAUAAAAUAUGCUCAGAGAGUCACAUCGAGGAAACACCAUUCAAUUACUCUUCAGCCUUUCCUCUUUAAACCGAUGACAGACUCUUCUACACUGUACAUACGGCUAGUUGUCCUGUCAGAGGAAGAGAAAACAUCUGAUCUUACAGAGUGCCACAAUAACCCAGGACCUGUCAAUCACAGUGGUGUCAGUCACUCAAAACACUGUUAUUGCUGGCUACUAUUGGUCCACAAUAAUCAACGACGUGAAAGAAUGGGUCAUAUACUACAGAGGUGAGGUCUUGUCACUGCUGCCAGCUGAAUGACCCCAUCAAACUGUUGUGCCAGUCUUGCGUUCCACUAAGGUAAAAGAAGCUUGGGAGGUGCUCGGUUUAGAUUGAUUGGACCACUACCAGAAACAAGUAUGUCCGUACCAUGACUGACCUGUACACCAAGUGGGUGAUUUCAGAACCCAUGCAGUCUAAGACAGCAGCUGAAGCUGAGACAAUGCAUCAUUUUAAACAUGGCAGUUUUCACAAGGAUGUAACCCAUCUGCCUUUAAUUUCAGAUGGGAAAUGCUUGCCUCAAGAUUGUAGAAGAAUCUGCACGACAACAUUUACUGUGUGCUAUUGUGGCCCGGUUUCACAGACGAGGCUUAUCUUACGCCAGGACUAGGCCUUAGUUAAUUAUCUGCAUGCUGAUGUAUGCACCUGCACAUCGUGUCCAUUAACAUUCACAGAGACACCCGAUGGUAGUCCAACCAUUGCAGUCUAUCUGUCCUUCCGGUUUUCUUCCCACCUUUUCGAUUUCAACAUGGCAGCGGAGUGAAAUCUAUUGCACGUGCAGCAGCCAGCCACUGUCAGAGACCUACAUUCAGCACGGGACUGAGUACCACGUCACAGAGACAUAUUCCAUGGGGAGGUGACAGAGCCUGUGUUUUUGCGGAUGCACAGGGACAAUCAACAAAAUGUCAUCAGAAAAGGGGUCUUUUUGACCCUGAAAAUUGACCCUGAGGGGUCAAUUUUCCAAGGCAAAGGAUGACUUUUUGUUUGUAUUUCAGUAUCAAGAAGACAUGGAAACAUUUUUGGUCCUAAAGGUCAAUGCCAUGUUCCUUAAUCAGCAAUUUAAGUAGAUGAAUAGAUUAGUGAGUGAGAGAUAAAAGGAGGUAGUAAGUGAAUGAACGUCUUAAGAAAAGAAGGAACAAAUGCAUAAAUAAAUAAAUUGAAUGAAUUCAGAAAAUUCUGUGUGUUUCUUAAAUACAGACAUUUGUUAAAGUAUGCUAAAAUAUGUAGAGCAUAACAUAUAAAUAAAACACACACUUCACUAAAUGGUGUCUUAAAA